rnacentral:piRNA from 1 species
UACCUUAUACGGGAGUAACAAUGGCGCUU